rnacentral:tRNA from 1 species
GGCUUGGUGGUACAGUGGUUAAGAACUUGGCUGUUAACCAAAAGAUUGGCAGUUUGAGUCUGCCAGCCG